UACGACUACAUAUCAGGCAUAUCAAUAAGCGGAGGAAAAGAAACUAACAAGGAUUCCCUUAGUAACGGCGAGUGAAGCGGGAAGAGCUCAAAUUUGAAAUCUUCAAGGUUCUACCUUGACGAAUUGUAGUUUAAAGAAGUGUUUUCUGUUAGAUGAGUAGCAAAAGUUCCUUGGAAUGGGACAUCAUAGAGGGUGAGAAUCCCGUAUUUGGUUAUUCAUUCUAGCUUUGUGAUACACUUUCAAAGAGUCGGAUUGUUUGGGAAUGCAGUCCAAAAUGGGUGGUAAAUUUCAUCUAAAGGCUAAAUAUUGGCGAGAGACCGAUAGCGAACAAGUACCGUGAGGGAAAGAUGAAAAGAACUUUGAAAAGAGAGUUAAACAGUACGUGAAAUUGUCAAAAGGGAAGCGUUUGACACCAGUGUUGUUUUUUUCCGAAAAUCAAUCACGAAUGGCUUGAUUUUGUGUUGUAUUGACCUUAUCAGCUUUUCUGCACUUUUUUUCGAGUCUUUCUUAAUGCACUUUUCGGUUAACAAGUCAACAUCAAUUUCUUUUGUUGUAAAAGAGUAUUCGGAAGGUGGCUUUCUUUUCGGAGAAAGUGUUUAUAGCCCUAUACUUCUACAAUCGGAGAGAUUGAGGUCUGCAGCGUAGAUCCUUCGGGGUUAGAUACACUUGUGCUAAGUUGUAGCUUUUCAUAGACAACUUGUUGACUAUGUUUAGUCAUGCGGCUUACUCGCUUGUGCUAUUUUACCUACGCUUAGGAUGUUGAGUAGCGACAUACGCAC
rnacentral:rRNA from 1 species